UACGUAGGUGACAAGCGUUGUCCGGAUUUACUGGGCGUAAAGAGCGCGCAGGCGGUCGAUCAAGUCGAGUGUGAAAGCCCCCGGCUCAACUGGGGAGGGUCAUUCGAUACUGAUCGACUCGAAGGCAGGAGAGGUAGUGGAAUUCCGGUGUAGUGGUGAAAUGCGUAGAUAUCGGAGGAACACCAGUGGCGAAGGCGACUACCUGGCCUGUUCUUGACGCUGAGGCGCGAAGCUAGG
rnacentral:rRNA from 1 species